rnacentral:lncRNA from 1 species
CGGAUGGAUUAGAGAUUUUUCUUUAACAGUGGUAACAACAGAAGCAACCUUAACAUGCUAAUUCUUAUCUAGACAUUGCCCUAAUGUGAUUCUCAAACAUGCUUUUCUAAAAUCAAUGCAAGUACAAAGACAUGCAUUCAUGACAUGAAAAUAAGCAGACAUGAUGUUGAAUACACAUGGCAAACAAUCAAAGAUAAGACAAGAGCAAGACAGGCAGUUAUGCAAUUCAGAAGAUUCAGUACUCUCUACUUAAACCAAUUAACACAAGUGUAACAGGUAGAAAGCAGAAUUACAGAUAUUCAAUAAUCUCCUAAAAGCAUAAUGAUCAUAGACAAAUUAAUAAUCACAUUAUCAAUUCAUACUAGUCCCACUCUAUUGUUAUAUGGCAUUAUACUAUCUCUAUUACUUAAGUUAGUUUUAGAUCUAACAUGAAGUUCUAAAAGUUCUACUAACACAAGGUAGAUAUUCCAUCAUAGAACAAAUAAAUUCCUUAACAAACAAUUCAGAUAAAUAAGCAAAUCUAAUUGUACUAGGGAAUCUGAAACUAAGUGUUUUAACAAAGUUAUAUAUGCUAGGAUCAUAACCCCUAAAACUAAGAGUCGUGUUCCAAAGGAAAGCUUCUAAUCUCACCAUUGCAAAUAAUCAAAUCCUAAAUAUUCAUACACAUGUUAAGAAUCUGCUAAAGACACAUGCACAAGAUUAUCAUCAAUCCUAGUUACCAGAAUAGUCAUCUAGCAUACUAGUUUAUCAUUAUCUAUUUUGAUGCUAUCAUGCUUGUGCUUGUGUGUUAAACAAUUCUACUCAGAGAUUUAUAACACGCUUUGAAUAUAAAGAAAUAUGUAAUGCAUAGUUAGAAAGAAUUCGUACCUGAGAUGUGCGAGUUGAGUCAUCUUCAGAGAAUGCUAGGAUAGCCAGAUAACCAUAAUCAUCCUUCUCAUCAGCAACUUAUCCAGCUCACACCUUUCCUUAAGUAGCAUAAGAACUUGUUGUGAUGCUUCGUUCAAAACAUCCACUUGAAUUUCAGACAAGCCCUAUCAUCCUUGUUUGUCGAGGCUUCAAUAUAUAUAGCAACCCUUCUUUGCUUAAGAUACCAAACAAUAUUGUGUGUACUGACCAACUCAGUUUUCAAACAACCUGUCGAACUGAACCCCGAAGAGUCUCCACUUGAAACCAAUGGAUUCCAUCUGAAUCUGACAUGACUAAACCUCUCAGACAGUGUUAUGCUAAUCCUUGAAGUUCUGUCCUCACAUUCUUCAAAAGUGUUAACUUUCGUCGACUUGAGCUUCCUCAAAUUCAGCAGUUACAAACUCUUCUGUUCAAUCCUAAGGUUCUGACAUAAAUGCACGAAACUGAUUUGGUGCGGUAGUAACUCGAUAAUUAUAUCCAUAAACCUCCACAGUUCUCUGUCUUUGGUUCAGUUGAUUCUGGAUGGAUUUAGCAUUAAUACAAUUCACUGUGUAAUUGUAUAUCCAUGAAUCACUGAGUUAGAUUGAAAUCCCUUGAAGAUUCGUCC